AUCUUGUAUCACCUUCAACACUGUUAUCGCCAUCCUGUGAAGGCCCAUCACUAAACAGAGAGUCAUGUAAGAAGAAAUCUGCACCCUCAGAUAGAAAGAGACCACGUAAGACUGUGCAUAAAAUUCUAGACUGCACCGUUGAGGGGGAUUCUGUAAAGAUCCCAAAAAAAGAGGAGAGUAAACAAGAUAUCAGCCCAGAUGAAUCAGAUGUCAAAGAUAUUCAG